rnacentral:tRNA from 9 species
GGAGACGUGGCCGAGUGGUCGAAGGCACUCCCCUGCUAAGGGAGCAUACCCCAAAAGGGUAUCGGAAGUUCGAAUCUUCUCGUCUCCGCCA